CAAUGGGUGUCAAUAUCACCAAAAUUCGAAAAGAGUACAUUCAAUGGACACGGAGCAUUUGUUGAUACAAUGGGAAUUGGAUUAUCCUCGAAAUCAAAGGAAACCAAAUUAGGUGCAUCAACAUUGAUUCUGUUCAAACCACUGCAGUUGUAAACUUCCAAAUGCAUAAGCCGAUUACUGGAGAUCAUUAUCCUUUCAAGGGUUUCCAAGGAGAUUAUGGAGAGAUCCUCAAGCAAGGGAAAUUUUGAAAUAAGAGGAUGAAACUCUUGGUCAUUAAAAUGGGGUAAAAAUAAGACUAACUUCCUCAAAUGUGGACAUUCAGCCACGUCCAGCAGACGGGGUACUCGAGAAAAUGAAAGUUCUAACUGUUGAAGACUGGGAACAGCAAUUUCAACACUUUCAAGUUCUUGGUAUGUAAAACGAAGUAUCAAAGACUUGAGUUUGUGAGCUUCAGAGAUGCGCAAACGCUUCAAACCAAAACAGUAAAAAAAGGACAAAUCUUCAAGCACACGGCAUUCACGGACAAGGCUUUGGACCAUCUGAUCAUUUACAUACACCUCAUCUAGAGAAAGCUUCUUGAGAGAUUGGAGAUUUGCACAAUGUGAGGGCUGCUCCAACUUACAACCAAAUAGCUUCAAAGAAGUUAACAAUUUUGCAGAAAAGAUUGUCUGAGGUAAAGCGUUGACAGAAUUUUUAUCUGUUAUAACCUCAAAAUCCAGCUCUUUUACCCCAUUCUCCAUGGCUAAUUCCACCCAUUUAUCAAAUAGUGGAGAAGAUUCUUUGACCUCCAGAAGACUUACGGAUAUUCUCAACUUCUGCAUAGGAAAACCAAGCUCACAAAACCGAUGCAGGGAAGCAUCCACGAAUCUUAUGAAUUUCCUCAGGCUCUUACAAAAAUUCUUUCUGCUCAUCAUGUCUUCGAGAUUGAAAGGCAACACACGUUUAACUCUUGAUUUGACAAGAAAGUUAUUUUGAUCAAAAUCCAAGACAGGGAAUGAAGUCUGAAACUUUCUCCAGGUUGUAGACAGAAUACCAGUUCGAACAACAUCUUUUGGCGAGAGGAAGGACAUAAUAUGAUGAAUGAUAAAAGUAGGAAGAUCGGAGAUAUGAUCCGCAUCCACUGUCUCAUCCAUGAUGUUCAACUCUGCAAUCUAAUAACAAUAACAACAUUCACAUUCAUCUAUUUGUAUCCAAAAAUUGAAAGAACAGAAUGGAGUAUACAGACUACGUAUGCCUAUUCAUAGAAUCUUUACUCAGGAAACAAGAACCGGAAACAAAAGACUAGACAGUUACAAUUCAAGGAAAAAACGAAAAAAGAAAAAACAGAGCAGGCCUUACCAGUAAUUCCGGUGAGAUGGGGAAUUUGUGUCUCAGCACUUAAAAUUGAGAGGGCUUAAAUAAAUAAAUAAAUACAAGCCAACUCCGACUCUCCGAGAAGAGCAAGCAAAAACACGACUCCAGGGGUCGUUAGUUUCAAAUAAGCCAAACCGGGAAACCCCCCUUUGCAAAUGGCCAAAACCCCAUUUUUUUUUCAUUUUUCUCACUUGUGUGUGACAUGCUAAUAACGUGUUGGGUGAUCAGUGACGGCAUGAAGGUGCAAAAUUCAGCAAGAGUGAUGAUGGGCAGGACAAAUUUAGGGAUCAGCUGGUUUGAAAUUAGAAAUUCAGGUAGUUUCAAGUAUAAAAGGCCAGGCCCGAGCCCUUAAGUUCAGAGCUGGCAAUCCCAGCCGAAAUUCAGGCCCACGUUAGAAAAAUUAGUAUUUAAAAAUAAUUGAAUUUCAUUUAUAUUUGCUUUUCAUUGUAUCUUAAGUUACAUUUUAGAUUUUUUUUUUCGGGUAGAAUAAAAGUUAAGACAUGAUAUCAUAAGACUUAUCUUCAAAAAAUAAAAUAAAAAAAAUAAAAUAAAAAAUAUUAAGGGUCUGAAUGUUAUUAACUUAUUAUAUUCAUAUAUUUACAAUGUUAUCAAGUAUUAUUUAUAUAUUAUAAAUAUUUAUAAGGUAAGCACUUUUUUUUUUGAAGGAAAUAAGAAUUUAUUAAACAACCAAGAAAUUAAUCAACUAGGUAGGUGGAACAUGACUCCACUCACCCGCACCUGACAUAAAACCCUCUACCCUAGCAACAGUACGGGAGGCGGUGAUCGCAGAUCUACGAACAAAAGAAAAAGAAACAUCUCCUAAAUAGUGAGCCAAAUCUCUACAAUCAGCAAUAAUAGUACCAAAGCCAUUAGAAUAAACAACAGUAUCACAUAGAGCAUUAAAAACAUGUAAGCUGUCCAUCUCAAGAAUAAUAGGAAAGACUGGAAAAUUCUUGAGCCAACUAAGAGCUUCAUGCAUGCCAAUCGCUUCGGCCUCGCGAGCUUCAAAUUUGCCGGGGAGAAAACCACUCAUUGCCGCAACAAAAUCACCCUCAAAAGACCGGAUGACAGCCCCAAAUCUGACCGUGCCUCGAGAGCAAGGUAAGCACUUUAUAUAUAUAGAAUAAAUAAUGAAAUUUAAUAACUAAUCGCCUUUGGUCCAACCAAGAAUUUAACAUGAUAUUACAUAAAACAAUGUGUUAUCUAACAAUAAGUGAAUUUGCAUGCAAUUGAAAUUGAAUGUAUGUUAGGUAUCCGAUCUACAUUGGACCAAGUAACAAUUGAGAUCCAAAGAAAUUUUAUUGUAACAUAUAAGUAACGUUCUAGUUAAUUAAAAAAUUUCGUUUCGGUUAGCGAAAAAAAUGGAAGGGAUUGAUUUUUUUUGCUGCUAGGAAGUAAAUAAAUACAGUUAAUGAAAAAAAAAAAGAAAAUUUCAUUUAGACACAUGAUCAUUCAAAUAAAAAGUAAAGAAACUUUACUUUUCCCAUUAAGACUUUGGAUAAAGUAUAAAAAAUAUAUGAAAAUAAGCAAAAUUGAAACUUAGACAUUAAAACAGACAUGCGCUAAAGCUUUUACAAAUUGUAAAAUAACAAGAUUUUAUAUACUCCUUUCAUCAAAGGCCGAAAAAACGUUCUGUUUAUAAUAAUUUAAAAACGUAGAAAAGUCUUUGUUUUAAAUUCAGGGCUGAGAAAUAAGGCCCAAGUCAAUAUGAAUUCCCCACUAGUUCAUAGUUGGUUAAUAAUUUACAUUAGGCCGUACCGGUGGAGUUGCUUUUUCGUGAAAUGCUGACUGUUAGAUUAUAAUAAUAAAUAUAUAUUAAUAUUUAUUUUUAUAAUCGUAUAAUCAACAUCGGUGUUCUAUAAUAAUAAAUAUAUAUUAAUAUUUAUUUUUAUAAUCGUAUAGUCAUCAUCGGUGUUUUAUUAUAGAACAGUUCUAACUUAGGUGGCGUUUGUUUUUUUGUCUGAAAUCUGAAUAGACCUGAAUUAGUCUGAAUUCUGAAUAGGUCUGAAUGUCUGAAUCUGAAUAAUAUGUUUGUUUUUUCGUCUGAAUCUCAGAAAAUAAGUAUUAAGUUGUUUUUUUUUUUCAACUUAAAAAGCUAAAAAUAUGUACGUUUACAUUUGUAUCCUUAUUAAAUUUGAAUGUCAAAUAAAUAAUAUAUUAAAUAUCACAAUAUUUUAACAUUUAUAAGUAAAACUAUAUUCAAGUGAAUACAUAAUUAUUUUAAAAUUUUAAUAUAUAAAAUACCAUAAAUUUCAAAUUUUAUCGUAUAUAAUAUAAGAAAGAAAAAAUAUGGAUAUUUUUAUGUGGGGUAAAUAUCUAUGGGUGAGUUUUGGGAUAGACAUGAAAAAUAAAUUAUAAAAUAGGGAUAUUUUUGACAUUAGCAAGUAAUUGACUUAAUUCAGAUUUCUCCAUUAAGUAAAAAGCAAAAAAAAUUAGCUUAUUUUAUUAAGUCAAAAUUAUUUAAAAAGUCUCAUUAAGUUAUAAAAACAAACACCUCUAAUUAACUUAAUUAAUUAAGUUAAGUCACUUUAAGUUAUUAAGUUAAAAAACAAACGCCACCUUAGUCGGACCCUUAACAUUAACAACUCAUGUUAUUUCUUUAUUCUUUUUACUAAAAUGAUAAAUUAUAGAAAAUUAAUAAGGCCAUCAUUUACAAAUAGAGAAUUAUUCUUCUUUUUUAUUAUAUAAAAUUAAAUUAUUAUUUUUUUGAAAUUCAUAAUUUUUGCAUCACAAGAAGGAAGAAGAAAAGUUUUACAUAGAAUAUGGAUCCCAUAAAUUAAUUCUAUGAGUAGUUUUAUUUUGACACCAAAGAUAAAAAAGACAGAAAAAAGAAAAAAGAAAAAAGAAGAAGAAAAGAAGAAAAAUCCUUAGAUUGGAAUUUUCGCCUCAGGCCUCCAAUUCUCUCAAAGGAGCCAGCCCUGACUAAAAUUCAAUCAUUUGACGCUUCCUUCUUAUAAAAAGUCAGCAGCCAAUGCCGUGAGCUGAUUUCUUUCAACGCAUCUACAUGCUUCACAGCUACAUGAUCGUCCAUAGCUCUCAAAUUGAACUGCAUGUUUAGCUAUAUUAAUUGCUUCUGCAAGUACACAUGCAUGCAGUUCAUUUAAUGGCUAUCAAAGCAAUAACAAGUCAUAAUCAAAAUCACACCCUUUUGAGCUUCAUUCCAAUCUUAUUAGUCCUGUUGCCAGGGCUUUGCUUUUGCCAGACUGACAGAUUACAACAAGGUCAAGUCCUGAAAGAUGGCGAGGAGCUUGUUUCAGCUUAUGGCAACUUCAGGUUGGGAUUCUUUAGCCCUUAUGGUACGAGAAACCGUUACUUGGGCAUUUAUUACAAGAGGCCUAUAGAUAGAUUGGCCUCGUACGACCGUAACUAUACUUACUCCAGGUACAUCAACGUUUUUCACCCUGGUUGCUACGAAAAUAUGUCUUCACCAAGUUUGUCUGACUUAGAAACAGCAAACCUGCCGCAGCCAGUAUGGGUUGCCAACCGCGACACCCCAAUCUUAUACAAUGAAUCAGCAACUCUUGUUAUGGAUGGUGCUGAUGGCAAUUUGAAGAUUUUACGCAAUAGAAGAGAUCCUAUUGUUAUAAGUUCGGUUCAGGCAAAGGGCAAUAUUACUAGCGCUGUUUUACUGAAAAGUGGCAAUUUGGUGCUAUAUGAGAUGAAAUCGGAUGGACUAUCUGUAAGGAGGGAGCUGUGGCAGAGCUUUGAUUAUCCGACUAAUACGCUUCUGCCGGGGAUGAAACUGGGGAUUAACUUGCGAACAGGAAAACGGUGGUUUCUGCGAUCAUGGAGUUGUGAAUCAGCUGCUGAAGGGUCUUACGUAAUUGGCAUGGACCCCAAUGUUACAAACAAGUUGGUUAUUUGGAAGGGAACAGCAGUAAAUUGGACUAGUGGGAUUUGGCUAAAUGGAUCCUUAAAUUCCAAUUUUCCACAGAAUAGUUCCUACAAUUUCAGCUACACCUCAAAUGAACAAGAGAGGUACUUAACCUAUUCUGUAAAUGAAGAUGUUACAUCAUUUCCAGUGUUAACGAUUGAUUCAGCCGGUGGACUUAUGGACGACUUAGGAAGAGAUAUUUCAUGCUCUGCUUUUCAACGAUGUGCAAAUCCGAACCUAUUUAACACGGAAGGUAAAUUUACUUUCGGUCUUGAAGUUAUUAUUAAUGCUAUUUUCAUCGUUUUCAUUAGACAAACACAAUAGUCAACAGAAGCAUAUACAGCCAUCAUAUGUUUCUAUGGAUAUAUCCUUGGCAGGUGGAAAAAGCAAGUGGUGGCUCUGGUUAAUCAUCGCAGUAGCUGCAGCUCCAGGGCUUUACGUUGGCUAUCGAAUUCGUAGAAAUUACUUCAAGGCUGAAGGUAUGCAACCCGGAAUCGUUUUCAUUAAUUGACAGUAUAAUUAAUCAUCACAAUUGUGAAUUACAUAGCAUUAAUUCAAGCUUAAUUGUGGUCAAUGUUUGAUUGCAAACUAAGCGACUAUCUUUCGGUUUACUGCAGAGGAGAAACGAUGGAUGUCUUUAGCCAUUGUGGUAGCGGUAGCUUCAGUGGUACCUGUGCUGUGCUAUGCAUCGUUUUUGCUAUUGAAAAAGCUCAAGGCUAAAGGUAUCAACCGACAGAACAAUAUUACUACUUUUAACGACGGAUCGAACUCUAAUGAAUCAUUUACUGAACUGUACUUUUGAAUUUGAUACCCCUCUUAAUUAGUGGAAAGCAUGGUGAAUCGACAAAAGCUAUUACGCGAACUUGGAGAUAAAUCGUCACUUCCCACUAUAUUUGGGAACAGGAAAACACAAGCUAAUAAAGAUCGAACCACGAAGCGUGACUUGAAGAUAUUUGAUUUCCAAACAAUAGCUGCUGCCACCGACAACUUCUCAACUGCAAACAGACUUGGACAGGGUGGUUUUGGUCCUGUUUAUAAGGUAAAAUAUUUUUUUGUCUCGUUUGUUUUCGGUUGAUAUAUUUAGAUUAUAAUUAAUGUAUGAUUUCAGGGGAUGCUACUGGAUGGGCAAGAAAUAGCAAUAAAGAGACUCUCAAAAAGUUCGAGACAAGGAAUAGUGGAGUUCAAGAACGAAGCUAAACUCAUUGCAAAACUUCAGCAUACUAAUCUUGUGAGGCUUUUGGGAUGUUCUCUCCAGAAAGGUGAAAGGCUUUUAGUAUACGAGUACUUGCCUAACAAAAGCUUGGAUUUCUUUAUCUUCGGUAUGUCUUCCACUCCAACAUAUAUACGAAGAUUUUGCAACAACAGUGAUUUCUAUAUAUCUUAUCUGCCACUAAUUAUUACAAAUUAAUGUAUGAUGAGACAGAUUCUAGUAGAACAAAGACACUAGAUUGGAAGAAACGUUUCAACAUAAUCGAAGGGAUUGUUCAAGGACUUCUUUAUCUCCAUAAAUAUUCAAGAUUAAGAGUGAUUCACAGGGAUCUUAAAGCCAGCAACAUCUUACUUGAUGAUCAAAUGAAUCCAAAAAUAUCUGAUUUUGGCAUGGCUAGAACUUUCGCAAUGAAUGAAUUAGAAGCCAACACAAACAGAAUUGUUGGAACACAGUAUGUAUACAAAACACACUUGCUCUAGUGCACGCACAAACUUGUUUCCUUAAUUUAUAAUACUGAUAUUGUUCAAUUAUUUUUCAGUGGCUAUAUGUCUCCGGAGUAUGUAAUGAAUGGUGUUGUCUCAUUGAAAUCUGAUGUAUAUAGCUUCGGGGUUUUGGUACUGGAAAUUAUAAGCAGCAAGAAGAACAAUGGUUGUUAUGACACAGAGCGCCCACUUAACCUUGUAGGAUAUGUAAGUACUGAAAAUAUCCAUCCACCUAAAAUUUGAGCAGUAUUAGUUUAUUAAAUGCAAAAAUUUUCCCUGUUUCAGGCUUGGCAGCUAUGGAAUGAAGGCAAAGGUUUAGAGUUAAUAGAUCCGUCAUUGGAUGAAUCAUGCUCUCCCGAAGAAGUGAUCAGAUGUAUUCAUGUGGGUCUUUUGUGUGUCCAAGACAAGGCAGUGGAUAGGCCAACAAUGUCGGAUGUUGUUUCCAUGCUUAGUAACGAUACCAUGGGUCUGCCUACACCAAAGCAACCGGCAUUUUUCAUUAAUAUUUCAUCUGAUUAUCAAGAGCCAGAAGUUACUGAAAUCAAGUUAGAAAUUUGUUCCGUGAAUGAUGUUACAAUUUCAGGGAUGGAAGGAAGAUAAAUAUACCAUCUUCGAAGAUUUAUGUGGAUUUUAUUUUCAAUAGGUAGUGAUAUACAGUUAUGCAUUUGAUCUAUUCAGUGACGUUGUUUUUCAUCUGAUUAUUUGCUGUCACUCCAAUGAGCUUCAAUUUGCCAAAAAAGUUACUGAUUAGCCAAACCUUCACCUUAUGCGCCAAGAGCUAAACCUCCACAAAGUUUCAGAUUAGCACAAGCUGGAAAAUCUUAGGUGUUUUAGCUCAUUUUUCAUGCCCUCUAUUAAAUUUUUAUUGUCCACCUUGCUUCAUCUCCAAGGUUACAAGAUUGUUUAUCACUCAACAGAGGGGUAAAAAAUAAAUUAAAAAGAAGAAAUCUUCCCCCAUUUUUCCUUCUAUAGUCACGCAUCCGGCAUAACUCACUAAACAUUUUACCACUCAUUAACCAGCUUUGAUAGCUGAAGCUGCCUGUGUUAUCUUGGAGCCCAUAAACCACGCACCUUAUGUAACUAACUUUUAACAGAAAUUUGACCUGAUUUGACUUAGGUGAAGCAUGGGCAGCUCACGUGCUCUAGAAGCACCAAAGAUUUAGUAGACCAAGUUUGGAUUGAGCUCUCCUUAAAAAUUGAAAACUAUAAAGAGACAGCCCGAGUUCUCUUCAGAGAUUUGGCUAAUAUUUCUUGUAAACUGUGAGUGCCAAGAUCUAAUUGUCAACAGAGGAGUGCUCCAUACAGAAAACUUAAUUUUCAGAUAUUCAUUGCCAUCUGGAAGCUAUUGGACCCAUUAAUCAUGCUAUGCUAGUGAAAGCAAUUAAUGAAAAGAAGAAAUUAAUCAAUACGUACAACCAGCGCCAAUCAUGUUCUGAUAUGCAUAUAUAACUGAGUUGAGAUUUUAUCCUCCUUAAUAAUACUCUAACCCUUAGACUUCAACGACUUAAACACAAAGCAAUAUUUUAUAUUCGGUUGGUCAAAGGAAAACGCUUCUGAAUAAUUUUCAAAAGAAAUAAAAUCCGGAAAGGUUUUGACUUUUGAAUUUGAACAAUCAUUGAAAAGGAGUUGCCUAAGUUACAGUUCAUGUAACUUACUGCCAACUCCUCUUACUUGUUUUUCAAUGCCUUUUCUCUCUCCCCAGGACACAUGGCUGCCAACUAUUGGAUGUGUAUGUUACAUUAAAUAUAAGAUAGCAAGCUCCCAUUGAAAAACACAGCAAGCAGCAAAUAAAACAAUAACUUCCAUGAAGUCAAUAGUCAAUGCCGUCGGCUGAUUCCUAUCACCCCUCUGCAUCUAGUCAUAGCUCAUAUUUUGAUUCAUUUCUGCAAGGUACACACACAGUUUAACUAAUGGCUAUCAAACAAAGAAUUGACCUCCUUUUCAGCUUUUCAUUCUUUGUUCUCUUGAUGCGGCCUUGCUGUUCCCAGACGGACAAAUUACUCCCAGGCCAACUUCUCAAAGAUGGAGAUGAGUUGGUUUCAGCUUUUGGCAAUUUCAGGAUGGGAUUCUUUAGCCCAGACGGCUCGGAAAACCGGUACUUAGGAGUAUGGUACUACAGGCCUACAGAUCCAUCAGUUUUGGGGGGGUACAACAGUAAAAGAAAUAAGCCAGUGUGGGUUGCCAACAGAAACAACCCGAUCUUAGAUAAAUCCGGAAGUCUUGCAAUAGACAGCAAUGAUGGCAAUUUGAAAAUUUUACUCAACGGUGGAAAUCCUAUUGUAAUAACUUCUGUAAAAGCAGAAGGUAAUACAAGCGCCACGCUUCUUAAAACCGGCAAUUUGGUGUUGUAUGAGAUGAAUUCAGAUGGAUCUGAAAGGCUAGAGCUGUGGCAAAGCUUCGACUAUCCGACUGAUACACUUCUUCCAGGAAUGAAACUGGGUAUUAACUUGCAAACUGGGCACGAAUGGUUUCUCCAAUCUUGGAUUUCUGAUAUCUCCCCUGCUCAAGGUUCCUAUACCUUAGGCAUCGAUCCUAAUGUCUCGAACCGGUUGAUCAUCCGGUGGCGAGGAGACAUCAUCUAUUGGACUAAGGGGAUUUGGCUGAAUGGGGAGUUCGAUUUUUUGGGUUUGGUUUCCGAUGGCUACAACUUCAGCUACGCUUCAAAUGAACAUGAAAAGUACUUCAAUUAUUCUGCAAGUGAAACGAUUACAUCGUUUCCGGAACUAAGACUUACUGCCGAUGGUCUCAGAGGUGCUCUUUCUGUUCCUUGUCUUCACGAAAUACAGUGUGUGAGUGUGAGUGUGAAUGUGAAGCGUCCCAGGUGCAGAAAAGAUUUUUCUAAAUUUGAAUACAAAUAUGGUUUCAUGAAUGGAGAUGGAUUCAAGUUCAAAGAAAGUGAUAACAUGACCUUAAGUGACUGUGAAGUCAAAUGCUUUCAGAAUUGUUCCUGUGUUGCCUAUGCUUCCAUAAAUGAAAGCAACGAUACAGGCUGCGAGAUCUGGAGCAGUGGGACAAAGUUCACGGAGACUUCUUUCACGGAUGAUCAUCGCAUAAUAUUCAUGGCACGUGAACCCAAAGGUAAGUCUGCUUCUAAAAUGUAUGAUACAUCCUAUGGGGAUUGCAAUGCCAAAAAAAAAAAAAAAAACCUACAACUAUUUUAAGAUUUUCAAUUUGAAUUAUGGGAUUGCAGAAAAAAAAUGGUGGCUAUGGUUAAUUGUUGCAAUAGCAGCAGCUAUAGGGGAGACCAUGCUGUGUUUAAUGUGCUAUCUGGCAAGGAGAAAAUACAAGGGAGAAGGUAUGCAAUCUGUCCAACUAUACACUAUUUUUGAUGAUCAACAAUAAUAAUAAUCAAUAGAAAAUGAUAUAUAUUGUAUUUCUGUUUUAUUGUAGUGGAGAAGAAGCAGAUGUCAUUAGCAAUUGCUGUCGGAACGGCUUUGUUGAUACCGCCGUUGUGCUACUUAUGUUAUCUGAUUUGUAGGAAACUCAAGGCCAAAAGGUAAUCACUCGGAACAAAUAUUUUUAGUAUCAAUCGAUCAAGAAUCUGAACUAAACCGUCCAUGAGCUUAAUCACUAGAAACAAUCUUUUAUUUUUUAUUUUUCAUUCUUAAGGAUGGACAAAAAUAAUUCACCAUUACCUGAAUUAUACUUUUCUAUUUGAUUUCUUUCAAUCAGUGGAAAACAUUGUGAAUCGACAAAAGCUAUUACGCGAACUUGGAGAUAAUGCGUCACUUCCCACCAUAUUUGGGAACAGGAAAACACAAGCUAAUAAAGAUCAAACCAUGAAGCGUGACUUGAAGAUUUUUGAUUUCCAAACCAUUGCUGCUGCUACCGACAAUUUCUCACCUGGAAAUAGGCUUGGACAGGGUGGUUUUGGUCCUGUUUAUAAGGUUCUUUUUCUCUUUGUGGUGCUUAUCUUUUUUUCAGUCGAUACAUUUGGAGUAUAAUUACAAAUUAGAGACAAAGCCAGUAUGAUUUCAGGGGAAAUUACUUGAUGGCCAAGAAAUAGCAAUAAAGAGACUCUCAAAAAGUUCGGGACAAGGAAUAGUGGAGUUCAAGAACGAAGCUAAACUCAUUGCAAAACUUCAGCACACUAAUCUUGUGAGGCUUUUGGGAUGUUCUCUCCAGAAAGGUGAAAGGCUUUUAGUAUACGAGUACUUGCCUAACAAAAGCUUGGAUUUCUUUAUCUUCGGUAUGUCCCUCUUCAACAUAUACGUAAAGAUUUUGCAACGAUAUAUUAAUUUCUCUCCCCACUAAACUGCUAAUAGAAACAUUCCAUUUUUUUUUCCAUUGUUCGAUGAGACAGAUUCUAGUAAAAAGGAAUUAUUAGAUUGGAAGAAACGUUUCAACAUAAUCGAAGGGAUUGUUCAAGGACUUCUUUAUCUCCAUAAAUAUUCAAGAUUAAGAGUGAUUCACAGGGAUCUCAAAGCCAGCAACAUCUUACUCGAUGAUCAAAUGAAUCCAAAAAUAUCUGAUUUUAGCAUGGCUAGAACUUUCGGAAUGAAUGAAUUAGAGGCCAACACAAACAGAAUUGUCGGAACACAGUUGUACAUUUAUCACUAUACACACACACACUCUCAUAUAGACACUGUGAGCCUGUGAGUGCAAAGUAUUUUGAAUUUCCUAUCAAAUACUAAUUAGUAAUUAAUAAUGACGUUCAGUUUCAUUUUCCAGCGGCUACAUGUCUCCAGAGUAUGUGAUGAAUGGCAUUGUCUCAAUGAAAUCUGACGUAUAUAGCUUUGGAGUUCUUGUACUCGAAAUUAUAAGCGGCAAGAAGAACAAUGGUUGCUAUGACACAGAGCGCCCCCUGAACCUUGUAGGACAUGUAAGUGUUUGAUCAUAUACCUUUACUGUAAACGUUCAUUCACAAAUGGCCUUCACAAGUUUUGAGAAACUAUUGAUUUACUGAAUCUGAAAAUUUUCGCCUCUUUCAGGCAUGGCAGCUGUGGAAUGAGGGCAAAGCUUUAGAGCUAAUAGAUACAACAUUACAUUAAUCAUGCUCUCCUGAUGAAGUUACGAGAUGCAUCCAUGUGGGUCUUUUGUGUGUCCAAGACAAGGCAACGGACAGACCAACGAUGUCCGAUGUUGCUUCCAUGCUUACUAACGAUACCAUGGCUCUGCCUACACCAAAGCAACCAGCGUUCUUCAUUACUAUUUCAUCUGAUUAUGAAGAGCCAGAAGUUACUGAAAUCAUGUUAGAAGUUUGUUCUGUGAAUGAUGUAACAAGUUCGAGGAUGGGAGCAAGAUAUUUAAUAACACCAGCAACGUGAUCCAUCUACGAUUAUUUGUACGGAUUUUAUGGAUUUAUUUAUUCAUUGACAUUAUUUUCAUAUAUACAAAGUACCAUUAUUAUUAUCUAAUGGUGAUUAUUUUAUUGCCAUUGGCACUCAACCUUGGGCAAUGUUUUUGACAAAUUGGAACUGCGAAUUUUUGGCAGCUUCUAUUAUAUCCAUGUUAGCCAUGCUAAUGCAUUAAAAUUUCAACUCAAGUGACAUUCAAGUAAAAUAUGGAUUUUAUUGCACAAAGAUUAUAACUGUAGGUCUCCCUAUAUAUAUAUAUAAAAGAAGAGUGCUUAUAAGUAGACGUUACUAAAAUUGUUGAAGCUGCACAACUGUAGGGGCCUGAACUAGUGGUUUCAGUCAAGACUCUUUUUUAGUUGGCCACUUUGAGUUGAAAUCCAGGGAUUUCAUUGGCAUCACAUAAUCUAAACUCACCAAUUAAUGAUUGGGGUAAGCUAGAUCCCAUAAGAAACUAUCUGGUAAAGUAUCUCAGUUGUAAGCUCUAAAUAAUGACCUUAUUAAAUUCAAUACACUCUCAGCCUUGUUUCAGCCAUGCUCCUUGCAAAUUGCAUACAAAACAUGCACUGCAGAUUCUCACAAAUGUCCUGCUUUUUAUCAAACCAGAUAACAUAAACCAUACUCAACUCUACAUAGGUACAACCGUAGAAGGAAAGCUAACCAUUAAAUGCGUAAUGUGAUUUCAGCAAAGUGAGUAGUAUAUAAAUAUAGUAAACGUCGGAAAUGGAGUCUGGCAAACCCAUUAGCUGCAUAUUUGACCAGCUGCCAAGUCUCCAAAUGUUCCAAAGAAACACUUGCAUUUUACAAGACAGAAAUCACAUAAGUUGGUGGAAUAAAUAGGAAUAAUAGCUACUCCGGUCACAAUUUCUCCUUAAGCUCAGAAAAGCACUAAUCAAGACGCAACCAUAAUACUCCUUCAGGAAUCAAAAGCCAUCGAUCCAUCAAUUCAGCUCCAUUAUCGUCACAACCUCGAAAGGGCUUGAAGCGUUCAACCUUGACAUCCUUUAAAUAAUGUUGCCAACAUUUGAUAUCACAAUCAUUGCAACAGCUUGUUUUUCUCUGCUUGAGAUUGUUAUCAAGCCACUGCAAUUCACGCAAACGUCAAAUAGCGCUGUUAACAUGAAGUAUGAUUGUGAUCUCAAAAAAUGAGGAACAAAAUUGCACUGCAGUCUGAUUGACUUAAAGGCAAUUAGAUGCUUAGAGUUAACGUGCCGCAGCAAAUCGGCAUUUGCGCUCGUCCACGCAGAAGAAAUUGGAUAAAAAUACUGAAAACGCCAUCUAGCAAAAUUUUAUUAUCAAAUGGGUCUACACCCAUUUGCAGGGCCAUUGUCUUAACUCGUAGAGGGAGUGAAGGGGAACAUCUUCUUCUGAGUUCGUCUAAAUAAAAAAAAAGCCUAAAUAAAUCACAAGAAACAAGUAAAUGGAUAAAAAACAAUUAGGAAUCCUAAGUGAAAGUGAAAAAGACUUAAAAGAAAUAUCGUAAUCAAUUAUGUGGAACAUAUGAACAUACCUCGACACAUUGCGCAGCGUUUCAAUUUGAUUAGAUGCUCCGAGAAAUUUCUUUAAGCUAAGGAACCACCGAGUGUCAGGAUGAUCCGCACAAUUAAAGGAUACAUUUCAUGGACAUGGAGCAUUUGUUGAUAUAAAGGGGAUUGGAUUAUCCUCAAAUUUGAAGGAAAGUAAAUUAGGAGCAUGAACAUGAAUUUCAAUCAAACCAGAGCAGUCACAAAGUCUUUUAAGUGCUUAAGCUAAUUACUUGAGAUCAUAAUCCUUACAAGGGAAAAACAAAGGUUUACGGACAGAUCCUCAAGCAAGGGACAAUUUUGAAAUAAGAUGAUCAAACUGUUGGUCUUUAAGAAAGGAUUCAAACAAGAUUAACUUUUUCAAUGGACAGUUAGCCACGCUUUUUAUAGGUCGAGGCACAAUAUAUGGAUCCGCAUAUCUAAUGGUUAAUUCUUGAAGACUUGGAACAAGAAUUUCAACACUUUCGGGUGACAAUGCUUUCAUUGUUAAAUCUUGAGUUUGCGAGUAUCAGAGAUGCACAAAAACUCCAUACCAAAACAGAAGCAAAUGGACAAAUCUUCAAGUAAAGGGCAUCCAUGGAUAAGGCUUUGGACCAUCUGAUCAUUUAUGUAGACUUUGUGCAGAGUAAUCUGUUUGAGAGAAGGGAGACUUACGGUGAAAGUGAGCAGCUCAAACUUACAACCAACUAGCGUUAAAGAAGUUAACAAAUUAGCAGAAAAGAUUGUACCACAUCCAACAAAAUUUCAUACUCUGAUGGUACCACAUCCAUAUAAAGGCUGAAGGAUUCCAUAAAUAGGUACAGACUCAACUUGAAGGGGGAGUGAAGGGUGGCAGCUUCUGAACUCGUCUAUAUUAAAUAAGACCUAUAUAAAUCACGAGAAAUAAAUAGAGGCAAAAGGAAAAAAAUCUGGAUAAUGGAAAGAAAAAAUGGCACUAAUUGUUUGGGGGAUGUGCUUCGACGAAGACCAGCAGUGAUGAACGGACAUCUAGUAGCAGGGUCCCGCGAACAGGUAUAUCUUGUAAGAGUCUAGUAGCAGGGGAGCAGGAGCAGGAAUAUUCUGCUCGUCCACGAAUAUCUCAUCCGCGAGGCCGAUCUCCUGUUAGAGGCAUAAAGCCAUUCCUGCUAAGGGUUGAGUCGAGGAGACCCAGUCAACGACAGUUGGCGAGACGUGCUCUCCAAUCCGAGAAUCAAGGCACGAAGGCCACGCAACCACCCAUGAUUACAGAAAUAGAGCAUCCACUUUUGAGAGGUGGGAGGAUAACGAGCGUGAAUGGAGGGAAGGUCUGAAUUCAGGAGAGGUCUAUAAAAAGGUAGCCAACGAAGGUAAAAGGGUUAGAAUUUUUGAUAUUGAAACUGAGAGAAAGAAAGCAUUGAAUAAUCCAAAAAACAAGCCUUAAGAUCAUUGGCUAACAUUCCCAGGAACACAAAACCUUUAUUUCUGACUUGAGCGUCGGAGGGUUUACGCCGGGAAAACAACCAGCGUGCUCUGACUUGUUUCUGUGUACGCAGGAAUUUCUGGAGAAGAAAUCAUAGGAGGAGAGAUCCUGAUCGUGGUCGAGUUGAUUGAACAGAGAUCUUGGUCGUGGUCGAGAGAGUAAUCAGAAUCUCGCAUCAACACUAAUAAAAUAUAACAAUCGAAGUUAUGGCACAUAUAAACAUACCUGCUUACAGUUGAGAGAUAAGUGUAGCUCUCCAAUUUGAUUGAAAGCUCCAAGAAAUUCCAUUAAAUUAAGGUACCAACGAUGUCAAUAUCACCAGAAUUCGAAAAGUGUACAUUCAAUGGACACGGAGCAUUUGUUGAUACAAUGGGAAUUGAAUUAUCCUCAAAAUCAAAGGAAAGCAAAUUAGGAGCAUCAACAUUGAUUCUGUUCAAACCACUGCAGUUGUAAACUUCCAAAUGCAUAAGUCGAUCACUUGAGAUUGUAAUCCUUUCAAGGGUUUCCAAGGAGAUUAUGG
rnacentral:lncRNA from 1 species